rnacentral:rRNA from 1 species
CGGGUGAGUAAUGUAUGGGGAUCUGCCUGAUGGCGGGGGAUAACUACUGGAAACGGUAGCUAAUACCGCAUAAUGUCUGCGGACCAAAGCGGGGGACCUUCGGGCCUCUUGCCAUCGGAUGUGCCCAGAUGGGAUUAGCUAGUAGGUGGGGUAACGGCUCACCUAGGCGACGAUCCCUAGCUGGUCUGAGAGGAUGACCAGCCACACUGGAACUGAGACACGGUCCAG